CCGUACCAUGCUGAAUAUACCGGUUCUCGUUAGAUCACCGAAGUCAAGCAUCAUUGGGCGCGGUCAGUACUUGGGUGGGUGACCACCUGGGAACACC
rnacentral:rRNA from 1 species